rnacentral:rRNA from 1 species
GAUGAACGCUGGCGGCGUGCCUAAUACAUGCAAGUCGAGCGAACGGACGAGAAGCUUGCUUCUCUGAUGUUAGCGGCGGACGGGUGAGUAACACGUGGAUAACCUACCUAUAAGACUGGGAUAACUUCGGGAAACCGGAGCUAAUACCGGAUAAUAUUUUGAACCGCAUGGUUCAAAAGUGAAAGACGGUCUUGCUGUCACUUAUAGAUGGAUCCGCGCUGCAUUAUCUAGUUGGUAAGGUAACGGCUUACCAAGGCAACGAUGCAUAGCCGACCUGAGAGGGUGAUCGGCCACACUGGGAGUGAGACACGGUCCAGACUCCUACGGGAGGCAGCAGUAGGGAAUCUUCCGCAAUGGGCGAAAGCCUGACGGAGCAACGCCGCGUGAGUGAUGAAGGUCUUCGGAUCGUAAAACUCUGUUAUUAGGGAAGAACAUAUGUGUCAGUAACGGUGCACAUCUUGACGGUACCUAAACAGAAAGCCACGGCUAACUACGUG